rnacentral:rRNA from 1 species
GAUGAACGCUAGCGGCAGGCCUCACACAUCCAAGUCGAGGGGUAGCAGGAUUAAGCUUGCUUAAUUGCUGACGACCGGCGCACGGGUGCGUAACACGUAUGCAACCUACCUUAUACUGGGGAAUAACUUCGAGAAAUCGGCGCUAAUACCCCAUAACAUUGCGAAGUGUCAUCUCUUUGCAAUCAACGCUCCGGCGGUAUAAGCUGGGCAUGCGUCCAAUUAGCUAGUUGGUGAGGUAACGGCUCACCAAGGCUACGAUUGCUAGGGGUUCUGAGAGGAUGAUCCCCCACACUGGUACUGAGACACGGACCAGACUCCUACGGGAGGCAGCAGUGAGGAAUAUUGCGCAAUGGACGAAAGUCUGACGCAGCCAUGCCGCGUGCAGGAUGACGGCCCUAUGGGUUGUAAACUGCUUUUGUACGGGAAUAAACCCUUCUACGUGUAGGAGGCUGAAGGUACCGUAAGAAUAAGCACCGGCUAACUCCGUGCCAGCCGCCGCGGUAA